rnacentral:rRNA from 1 species
UACGUAGGAGGCAAGCGUUGUCCGGAAUUACUGGGCGUAAAGCGCGUGUAGGUGGUGGGACAAGUCUGCUGUGAAAGCGCCUGGCUUAACCGGGCGAGGUCGGCGGAAACUGUCCGACUCGAGGACGGUAGAGGGGGGUGGAAUUCCCGGUGUAGUGGUGAAAUGCGUAGGGAUCGGGAGGAACACCUGUGGCGAAGGCGGCCCCCCUGGGCCGGCCCUGACACUGAGACGCGAAGGCGUGGGGAGCGAACGGG